GUAGUCUCGCACAGAUGCAUAUCAAUAAGCGGAGGAAAAGAAACUAACAAGGAUUCCCUCAGUAACGGCGAGUGAAGCGGGAAGAGCUCAAAUUUGAAAUCUUGAAAGGUCACCUUUCACGAAUUGUAGUUUAAAGAAGUGUUUUCUGUUACGAUCGUAAUAUAAGUUCUUUGGAAUAGGACAUCACAGAGGGUGAGAAUCCCGUCUAUGAUUGCGAUUUGUAGCUUUGUGAUACACUUUCAAAGAGUCGGGUUGUUUGGGAAUGCAGCCCAAAACGGGAGGUAAAUUUCUUCUAAGGCUAAAUAUUGGCGAGAGACCGAUAGCGAACAAGUACCGUGAGGGAAAGAUGAAAAGAACUUUGAAAAGAGAGUUAAACAGUACGUGAAAUUGUCAAAAGGGAAGCGUUUGACACCAGUGUUGUUUUCUCGAAAAUCAAUUAAAAAGAGUUAGAUUUUGUUGUGUAUUGACCUUAACAGCUUGCAUUUCAAUUUUCUUGCUUUUUUUAAUGCACUUUUCGUUUAACAAGUCAACAUCAGUUUCUUUUGUUGUAAAAAGGUCAUUGGAAGGUGGCUUUCUUUUCGGAGAAAGUGUUUAUAGCCUUUGACUCCUGCAAUCGGAGAGACUGAGGUCUGCAGCGUAGAUCCUUCGGGGUUAGAUACAUUUGUGCUAAGUUAUAGCUUUUUAUAGACAACUUGUUGACUAUGAUUAGUCUUGUAGCUUACUCGCCUAUGCUAUUUUACCUACGCUUAGGAUGUUGAAGAUGUAGCACAUCAU
rnacentral:rRNA from 1 species